rnacentral:rRNA from 1 species
GACGAACGCUGGCGGCGUGCCUAAUACAUGCAAGUAGAACGCUGAAGGAGGAUCUUGCUCUUCUGGAUGAGUUGCGAACGGGUGAGUAACGCGUAGGUAACCUGCCUGGUAGCGGGGGAUAACUAUUGGAAACGAUAGCUAAUACCGCAUAAGAGUAGAUGUUGCAUGACAUUUACUUAAAAGGUGCAAUUGCAUCACUACCAGAUGGACCUGCGUUGUAUUAGCUAGUUGGUGGGGUAACGGCUUACCAAGGCGACGAUACAUAGCCGACCUGAGAGGGUGGUCGGCCAAAAUGGGAAGGAGACAAGGCCCAGAAGACUACGGGAGGCAGCAGUAGGGAAACUUGGGAAAUGGACGGAAGUCUGACCGAGAAACGCCGCGUGAGUGAAGAAGGUUUUCGGAUCGUAAAGAUCUGUUGUAAGAGAAGAAAGAGUGUGAGAGUGGAAAGUUCACACAGUGACGGUAUCUUACCAGAAAGGGACGGCUAACUACGUG